GGGUUGCUACAGACUUUUGAGAAAGAUCACCAGCUCUUCGAGGAGACGGUAAAUGUAGUGGGAGGAUCUUUUUUGGAUGGGCAUUAUCCUUUUAAAAAAAAUAAAAAUAAAAAUAAAAAGAUGUAAAGUGCUGGAAGUCAGAUCUAGAAGUUCAAGUUCAAGACUGAUCAAAGUCAGACAGAGUACUUCUAUUGUAGGAAG
rnacentral:lncRNA from 1 species